rnacentral:lncRNA from 1 species
AUUAAAUUUUGCAGUUCACUUGGAUACACAGGGUAGAGCCCUGGAGGCAUUAACUGCUGUUUCCCAAUGCAGACCGACUAUCCUCCCCUCCGCAUAGCUAACAGCCCACGUGAAGACUCUGACCGCUGAGAGCAUGUCCUCUUUCUUCAGUCACCUUGCUGUCUGUGACAACUCAUGCAUGCAGUGGUCGCAGCAUGGCCGUGGAGUGGAAGUGGAGGUCCGCCAGCCCCUCUUCUGCUGGUGCCUGGGCAUUCGCCUGCGGAGAGCAGUGGAGGUGGUCAUACCAGAGCAGCAGUUGGGGAAGGCAGCCUCGUGGCCUGCAGGGGACAGGACGUGGGCUGCAUGA